AGAGUUUGAUCCUGGCUCAGAAUGAACGCUGGCGGCGUGCUUAACACAUGCAAGUCGCACGAGAACGCUUCAGCUUGCUGAAGUUAGUAAAGUGGCGCACGGGUGAGUAACGCGUGGGUAAUCUACCCUCGAAUUGGGGAUAACAUUGCGAAAGCGAUGCUAAUACCGAAUGAUAUCUUAAGUCCUUAGGUAUUUAAGAUCAAAGAUGGCCUCUACAUGUAAGCUAUUGUUUGGGGAUGAGCUCGCGUACCAUUAGCUUGUUGGUAGGGUAAUGGCCUACCAAGGCUGCGAUGGUUAGCUGGUCUGAGAGGAUGAUCAGCCACACUGGAACUGACACACGGUCCAGACUCCUACGGGAGGCAGCAGUGAGGAAUUUUGCGCAAUGGGGGAAACCCUGACGCAGCAACGCCGCGUGAGUGAUGAAGGCUUUCGGGUCGUAAAGCUCUGUCAAGUGGGAAGAACCCACGUGGUGCUAAUAUCACCAUGUGCUGACGGUACCACUGAAGGAAGCACCGGCUAACUCCGUGCCAGCAGCCGCGGUAAUACGGGGGGUGCAAGCGUUAUUCGGAUUUACUGGGCGUAAAGCGCGCGUAGGCGGCCGUUUAAGUCAGAUGUGAAAGCCCGGGGCUCAACCCCGGAAGUGCAUUUGAUACUAUUCGGCUUGAGUAUGGGAGAGGGAAGUGGAAUUCCUGGUGUAGAGGUGAAAUUCGUAGAU
rnacentral:rRNA from 1 species